AGAGUUUGAUCCUGGCUCAGGACGAACGCUGGCGGCGUGCCUAACACAUGCAAGUCGAACGGCCCGCCCCAUCAGAUUCCUUCGGGGAGAAGAUGGGUUACCGGGCAGUGGCGGACGGGUGAGUAACGCGUGGAGAACCUAUCUUACAGUUGGGGAUAACCUGGCGAAAGUCGGACUAAUCCCGAAUACACUCUUUAAGUAGCAUUACUGAAAGAGGAAAGGUGCUACGGCAUCGCUGUAAGGUGGCUCCGCGUCGGAUUAGCUAGCUGGUGGGGUAACGGCUCACCAGGGCAACGAUCCGUAGCUGGUCUGAGAGGAUGAUCAGCCACACUGGGACUGAGACACGGCCCAGACUCCUACGGGAGGCAGCAGUGGGGAAUCUUCCGCAAUGGGCGAAAGCCUGACGGAGCAACGCCGCGUGAACGAAGAAGGCCUUCGGGUCGUAAAGUUCUGUCCUCAGGGAAGAACCCUCAUGGUAGGGAAUGACCAUGAGCUGACGGUACCUGGGAAGGAAGCCCUGGCUAACUACGUGCCAGCAGCCGCGGUAAUACGUAGAGGGCAAGCGUUGUCCGGAAUGACUGGGCGUAAAGGGUACGCAGGCGGAUAAAUAAGUCAAAUGUGAAAGGCACCGGCUCAACCGGUGAGCUGCAUUUGAAACUGCCUAUCUUGAGUUCAGGAGAGGAGAGCGGAAUUCCUGGUGUAGCGGUGGAAUGCGUAGAUAUCAGGAAGAACACCAGUGGCGAAGGCGGCUCUCUGGCCUGAAACUGACGCUCAGGUACGAAAGCUGGGGGAGCGAACGGGAUUAGAUACCCCGGUAGUCCCAGCCGUAAACGAUGGACACUAGGUGUUGGGGGUUCGAAUCCUUCAGUGCCGAAGUUAACGCAUUAAGUGUCCCGCCUGGGGAGUACGGUCGCAAGACUGAAACUCAAAGGAAUUGACGGGGGCCCGCACAAGCGGUGGAGCAUGUGGUUUAAUUCGAUGCAACGCGAAGAACCUUACCGAGACUUGACAUCCCGUGACUAUCUGUGAAAGCAGAGUCUGCCUUCGGGCACACGGUGACAGGUGGUGCAUGGUUGUCGUCAGCUCGUGUCGUGAGAUGUUGGGU
rnacentral:rRNA from 1 species